CCCUGGUUAGCUCAGUUGGUAGAGCGCUCCACUUGUAAUGGAGAGGUCCCGGGUUGGAUACCCGGACCAGGUG
rnacentral:tRNA from 1 species